rnacentral:rRNA from 1 species
UACGGAGGAUGCAAGCGUUAUCCGGAAUCAUUGGGCGUAAAGCGUCCGCAGGUGGUGAUGCAAGUCUAUUGUCAAAGAGCGAGGCUCAACCUCGUCAAGGCGGUGGAAACUGCAAACACUAGAGUGCGGUAGGGGUAGAGGGAAUUCCCAGUGUAGCGGUGAAAUGCGUAGAGAUUGGGAAGAACACCGGUGGCGAAAGCGGCCAUCUGGACGGAUACUGACGCUGAGACGCGAAAGCGUGGGGAGCAAACAGG